AAAAUAAAUAUUUGUUGAAAGUUGAACAGAUGAAGAAGUAGUGAUCAUUAAUAACAAGCUACCAUUAUCAACAGCUGCUUUCUGUUGUUCUAUUUCCAGGCUCCAUACCUUCUAUCUACCCAACAACUGGGCUGGGAGAGUAAUAGUGUCUACACGGCAGAAGUGAAGAAACAGAUUUAGGCUAAGCAAACUGCCUGAUGUUAUAACUACAUGUAGUGGCAAAUGCGAGAUUAAAACAUGGACUUGAGUGGCUUUGAAAUCUCUGUGCCUUCCACAGCAAUAAAAGUCAGAAGAAAAGAGAUGGUACAUCUAGAUGGACUGGUAAAAAUGGAGCACUGCCAAGCAAACCCCAAGAAAAUGUCCAGCCUCAACAUGAAGUUUUACUGGCUUCUGAGGAAGUGGUAAGUUUGCAAGUAUCAUCACAGAAUUAAAUGCAUUCUUAAGAACUAAUGUCUCAGCGAGGCAUUCGGGGGAGAAACUGGACUGAUUUCUAAGGUAAGUCUACCACUAAGUAUCUAUAGAUAUUGGGUCUGAACCUGUCGUUUUCUGGGGCUCGGUUUCCUCGUUUGUGAAGCAUAAGGGCCGGACAACGUUUUCAAAAAGAGAUUCUGUAAUUCUUUUCUGAGAUAAACGGUUUAAACACAUUGUGGUUUGGUGGGGAAAUCUUUCUAUCUAUAAAGACCCUGUGGAGGACUUAGCUGUAGUUUUUUCUGCCAUUAAAUGGAUUCAGUGAAGGGACUUGACCAGUAUUCAGAGAUGUGUCAGCAUUUUUGCCUUCUCUAAAUUUUUCACCUGUGAUACAGAUUAAGGCAGAAAGGAAAGUGGCAAUUGGCUAUUCAGGAUAGGGUAGAGCAAACCCUUCUUGUUUGUCUUGGGGAUAAGCUUCAACAAUGGAGAAGAGGUUAUUGACACUGGCAAUGAUGACAUAUUAGUAUCUGAAAUUCAGAUCAAAUGAUUCAACCCUUCAGAGCAUUCCCAAACAAUGGUCUUUCCAACAGCGUGAAUCUGCAAACAGAGCCCAGCAGUUAAUUUCAGUCAUCCGGCUUUGCUGGUAUUGCUGCUUCAAUCUUAGAUUUACAGAGCCGUUUUUGAUGAAGACAAUAAAAGCCUCCUUUUGCUCCUGUGUUGCGUUAUG
rnacentral:lncRNA from 1 species